rnacentral:rRNA from 1 species
ACGGAAGGCAGCAGUGAGGAAUAUUGGUCAAUGGGCGGAAGCCUGAACCAGCCAAGUCGCGUGAAGGAAGAAGGUAUUAUGUAUUGUAAACUUCUUUAGACGUAGAGAAAUAAGCGGGUCGUGACCCGUGAUGCUAGUAUACGUAGAAUAAGGAUCGGCUAACUCCGUGCCAGCAGCCGCGGUAAUACGGAGGAUCCGAGCGUUAUCCGGAUUUAUUGGGUUUAAAGGGUGCGCAGGCGGUCUUUUAAGUCAGUGGUUAAAUUGUGAGGCUCAACCUCAUCGCGCCAUUGAUACUGGUUGACUUGAUUUCGGUCGAGGCAGGCGGAAUUCGCCGUGUAGCGGUGAAAUGCAUAGAUAUGGCGAAGAACUCCGAUUGCGUAGGCAGCUUACCAGACCGACAAUGACGCUCAUGCACGAAAGUGCGGGGAUCGAACAGGAUUAGAUACCCUGGUA